rnacentral:rRNA from 1 species
AACGCUGGCGGUGUGCUUAACACAUGCAAGUCGACGAGAAUUUAUCUCGGAUAAUAGUAAAGUGGCGAACGGGUGAGUAACGCGUAAAUAACUUGCCUUGGAGAUUGGGACAACAUUGGGAAACCAGUGCUAAUACCAAAUAAUGCAGCGGGCCCUUCGGGGCAUAGUUGUUAAAGUAGGCUUCGGCUUACACUUCAAGAUAGAUUUGCGUCCGAUUAGUUAGUUGGUAGGGUAAUAGCCUACCAAGACCGAGAUCGGUAGCUGGUCUGAGAGGAUGAUCAGCCACACUGGAAUUGAGAUACGGUCCAGACUCCUACGGGAGGCAGCAGUGAGGAAUUUUGCACAAUGGGCGAAAGCCUGAUGCAGCAACACCGCGUGAUUGAUGAAGUUUUUAGGAAUGUAAAAAUCUGUCGUAAGGGAAGAAAUGUUUCGGAUGUUAAUACCAUCUGUUACUGACGGUACCUUACAAGAAAGGACCGGCUAACUUCGUGCCAGCAGCCGCGGUAAUACGAGGGGUCCUAGCGUUGUCCGGAUUUACUGGGCGUAAAGGGUACGUAGGCGUUUUAAUAAGUUGUAUGUUAAAUAUCUUAGCUUAACUAAGAAAGUGCAUACAAAACUGUUAAGAUAGAGUUUGAGAGAGGAACGCAGAAUUCAUGGUGGAGCGGUGACAUGCGUAGAUAUCAUGAGGAAAGUCAAAUGCGAAGGCAGCCUUCUGGCUCAAAACUGACGCUGAGGUACGAAAGCGUGGGGAGCGAACAGGAUUAGAUACCCUGGUAGUCCACGCCGUAAACGAUGAGUAUUUGGUGCUGGGGGAUUCGACCCUUUCAGUGCCGUAGCUAACGCGAU